CACGUAGGGGGCGAGCGUUGUCCGGAAUCAUUGGGCGUAAAGAGCUCGUAGGCGGCUCAGUAAGUCGGGUGUGAAACCCUCAGGCUCAACCUGGGGACGCCACCCGAUACUGCUGUGGCUAGAGUCCAGUAGGGGAGUGUGGAAUUCCCGGUGUAGCGGUGAAAUGCGCAGAUAUCGAGAGGAACACCUGCGGCGAAGGCGGGUGCUGGGCUGACACUGACGCUGAUGCGCGAAAGCUAGGGGAGCGAACGGG
rnacentral:rRNA from 1 species